rnacentral:rRNA from 1 species
UGGGGAAUAUUGGACAAUGGGCGAAAGCCUGAUCCAGCCAUGCCGCGUGUGUGAAGAAGGCCUUUUGGUUGUAAAGCACUUUAAGCGAGGAGAAGGCUACCGAGAUUAAUACUCUUGGAUAGUGGACGUUACUCGCAGAAUAAGCACCGGCUAACUCUGUGCCAGCAGCCGCGGUAAUACAGAGGGUGCGAGCGUUAAUCGGAUUUACUGGGCGUAAAGCGUGCGUAGGCGGCUUUUUAAGUCGGAUGUGAAAUCCCUGAGCUUAACUUAGGAAUUGCAUUCGAUACUGGGAAGCUAGAGUAUGGGAGAGGAUGGUAGAAUUCCAGGUGUAGCGGUGAAAUGCGUAGAGAUCUGGAGGAAUACCGAUGGCGAAGGCAGCCAUCUGGCCUAAUACUGACGCUGAGGUACGAAAGCAUGGGGAGCAAACAGGAUUAGAUACCCUGGUAGUCCAUGCCGUAAACGAUGUCUACUAGCCGUUGGGGCCUUUGAGGCUUUAGUGGCGCAGCUAACGCGAUAAGUAGACCGCCUGGGGAGUACGGUCGCAAGACUAAAACUCAAAUGAAUUGACGGGGUCAUAGCUGUUUCCUG